GAAGGUCCAGAAUUACGCCUUGAAGUAUCCCUCAACCGUGAGAUAAGAAAAUUUGUAGUCAAAUUUGGGUCCGAAGUAGUGAAGUUUCAGUUCCUAAGAUUAAUGACUCUGAGAUACGACGAUGGGUUCCCGGCGCCGUUGCCCUCACCGGCAUCGUCGAUCACACCAUCGCCGCCCUCAUCAAAGUCUUCGAUGAAUUAAAUUUAUAUUAUGUAACUAAAAAUAAAUAAUUAAGUAAA